rnacentral:lncRNA from 1 species
AAACGAUCGUAGUCCUCCUGGCCUGCCGUGUCCCACAGCGCCAGCUCCACCUGCUUGCCGUCCACCUCGAUGUCCGCCACAUAGUUCUCGAACACGGUGGGCACGUACACCUCGGGGAAUUCGUCUUUACUGAACACGAUCAGCAGGCACGUCUUGCCGCACGCGCCGUCGCCCACCACCACCAGCUUCUUGCGGAUGGCCGCCAUGAGCUCGCCGGGCGCGGGCAGCAGGAGGGGCCCGCGAGCGCCUCGCCGCCGUCCCGCUCCCUGUUGCUUGCCGCUCCCCGCUCUCCCGCGACUGCGCGCUGCGGGCUAGGCUCGCUAACUGCACCUGGACCCCGCGGCGGCGCGGUCUCUCGGGGCGCUCCGGUUGCCUCGGCAGGGGCGCAGGGGCAUACGGUGCACUGAGUGUCGCCGCGCCGCUGCCGCGCCGCUGUGGUCCUCGGCGGUCCCGGAGCUGCGCUGCUUUGUGCGAAGUGAUGGCUGAUGCUGCGGACCCGGCCUAGCUUCUUUCCCGGGGCGGGUUCACUCUAGACCUAGGGUACAGGGGCGCAGACGACGACAACCGAACUGCGGUGGCAGAUGCGGGCUGCGGCCCUAGCGCCCGCUAUUUAAAGAGUCCGGCCACUUUCUUAAUAUAGCCACCCAAUGGGAAGCCAUAGGGCUGAGCUCAUCGCUGCGGAGCUUGGCUCCGAUUGGUCGCCCGCUGCAGUCCGAAGGCGGGUUCGCCUUAGCUUGAUUGACUGCCCUGUCCGCGGGGCUGGGAGAGGCGUUGACUGUGGAGUCUGCGCGGCGACCCGCCCCGUGGGGUUGUGUGGCCGCCGGGUCCCCGCCUUCGUCGCAGCCUCUCUGAGUGCGACAUCGUGGAGCAGGCAGCCUGGAGCCCUCCGGGUCUGGGUGGGCAGUUCCGAGACGAGCUACACUCUUGUGGGGCGUUGGCUGCUCCCAGGGCUUCAGCUUUAUCUAGCUUCCGAGCGAACUACGGGUGAUCAAGCAUGGGGGAGGGGCGGCGCCUUUAACGUGGUUUUGUUUUCACUUAAACAGACACCGGUGCACGGUUUUGUUACCUAGCCAAGGGUUUCGUUCUUUCUUAACUUUGUUUAGAUAACUAACCCCUCGUGUGCUCUGGGCCGAAUUCUGACACUUACCCAGGGCAGCCUUUUCACUGAGAAAGGCUAACAGUAAAUUGUGUGGGCCUGGGUGAGUCCCCUCUCGGCUUUCUCUUCAAGGCCCACACUUAGGUCUCCGGGUGAAGAAGAUAAGGGGAGGAAUCUAGGAGACACACAGCUGUAGGACAAAGGAAAGCGAGGUGCAGGGCACUCCGCUGAAAAAGAAAGCACCCAGCUUGGGCAGGCAACCUUCACCCAGUCCUACCACAUUACAUCUGAUUCUCGCCCUAAAGCCAGAGAACUGCUUGAAGUACACUGUGCAAGGAAACCCAUCUAUCCCAACAACUCUCAUGGAGCAGAUGAAAAGCUUCAAGCUGGGAAAGCAGGCAUGCGGCCUCGCAGGGAACUUGCCGGUGGGCACACGGUUUCUGUACAGAGGAUGGAGUUUCUUCAUACACACCAGGUCUUAACUCGUGAAUUACCACUUCCUGCAGGAGAUGACACCUCUUCCUAUCUUAAAGGAUUUAAGCCAGUCCACUGUAAGAAAUAGGAAAGACAGAAAGCUGCAAAGGGCGUCAAAGAGGGCCUUACCCCGCCCCCAAGAGAAACUGAACAAAGAAAAAGGAGGAAAGAAAGUGGGGAAAUGGCUUAACAUUGCUGCGUGGGGUCCUCAUGGAGGGCUAGGCUAGGGGUACCAGCUAAGAGAAAGCUUUCUCAGUGACCAUGUCAUGAUGACCUUAUGACCCAUUUCUUUGUCUCUCUCUCUGGACUGUGAGUUGUCCGAGGGCCAGGAUUUCCUCCCACCUGAGCAUCAUGAAGACCUAGCACUAUGCUGGGCCCUAAAGAAGCAGUAAAAAUGGUCCGUGCAGUGGUAGGCCUGCCCACCUGUAGACCCAGCCACACAGGACGCACAGGGGUUGGCCUUCCAAGUCUAGGCAGUCUGGGCAACCAAAUGAGACAGAGAGAGAAAACAACGGGGAGGGGUAAAUGACUUUGGGAGCUAACCCAGUUUUUCAAAAGUGGAACUUUUUAGUUCUUAACAUCAGAUCCUGCUAUAAUCAGACCAAACACAAGCAGCCAAUGUUUUCACAUAUAAUCCCCAUGUUACAGUUUCUGUGUAUCUGGACAGAUAUGAUCAAGCCAUAGUGUUCCAUCAGUGGGGGAGAGCUGUGUUCCCUGCAUUCUGGAUUAUCCCCACUGCAGGGCCCAGUCUCUGUUUUUCUCUGCUUUAGUUUUUCAGACCUAAGGAACUGUCACAUGGUUUGGUUUGUCAUUGGUUGAGGAAGUCACUUUGCACACACACACACACACACACACACACACGCACACACACACCCCACACAUGCCUUUUAGGGGAAAAAUCUUAUCUACACAUAUUUUUCUCCUCGUAGUUAAACCUUUUGAUUGCUGUGUUAUUAGCUCUGCUCUCCGUGGUCUUAAUAUAGCUUGGGAAUCUUGGCUAUGUCCUUCAGCUUUAAAUAUUAAGAAAAUAUAAACCAGAGCUUUGUCCCGUGUGCUUCUUUCAAAGACUUAAAUACAAAGAACCAGGAAGCAGGAUUACGGCCACCGGCUUCCUGAUUUCCAGACGUAUCAUACGGGGUGUUCCAAGCUCAAAUCUCUAUAUCGAAGUAAUUGCUAAAAAUACAAAGUGGGCAAGUUAUGCCGAAGUAAAGAAGGAGAAGAAUCGAAACGGCGUUCUCUCAAAACAGGACUGGCGGCCUCAAAGACCUAGCUCACUGCUUAUAGCAUUAACUUUUCCAAACUUGCUGAUGAGUUUUAUAGUAUCCCCUUGUCAGGCCCCACACCCUUCAAAGUGCACUGUCACUGCAAGGCAAUGACUAGAUUUAAUUCUCCAAGAGUUAUUAACAUUCAGUGCAUGAAGCCGGGCGGUGGUGGCGCACGCCUUUAAUCCCAGCACUUGGGAGGCAGAGACAGGUGGAUUUCUGAGUUCAAAGCCAGCCUGGUCUACAGAGUGAGUUCCAGGACAGCCAAGACUAUACAGAGAAACCCUGUCUCGAAAAACC